UCCCGUACGAUCACCGAAGUUAAGCAACGUCGAAUCUGGUCAGUAUUUAGAUAGGUGACCGCUUGGGAAUAUCAGAUGCUGUAAG